ACUUCUCUAAAGUCUUCC
rnacentral:snRNA from 1 species